rnacentral:rRNA from 1 species
GAUGAACGCUGGCGGCGUGCCUAAUACAUGCAAGUCGAGCGAACAGACGAGGAGCUUGCUCCUCUGACGUUAGCGGCGGUCGGGUGAGUAACACGUGGAUAACCGACCUAUAAGACUGGGAUAACUUCGGGAAACAGGAGCUAAUACCGGAUAAUAUAUUGAACCGCAUGGUUCAAUAGUGAAACACAGUUUUGCUGUCACUUAUAGAUGGAUCCGCGCCGCAUUAGCUAGUUGGUAAGGUAACGGCUUACCAACGCAACGAUGCGUAGCCGACAUGAGAGGGGGAUCGGCCAGCCGGGAUCUGAGACACGGUCCAGACUCCGACGGGAGGCAGCAGUAGGGAAUCUUCCGGAAUGGGCGAAAGCCGGACGGAGCAACGCCGCGUGAGUGAUGAAGGUCUUCGGAUCGGAGAACUCUGUUAUUAGGGAAGAACAAAUGUGUAAGUAACUAGGCACGUCUUGACGGUACCUAAUCAGAAAGCCACGGCUAACUACGUG